rnacentral:rRNA from 1 species
UACGUAGGGGGCAAGCGUUGUCCGGAUUUACUGGGCGUAAAGCGCGUGUAGGCGGCCAGAUAGGUCGGUUGUGAAAACUGGAGGCUCAACCUCCAGACGUCGACCGAAACCAUCUGGCUAGAGUCCGGAAGAGGAGAGUGGAAUUCCUGGUGUAGCGGUGAAAUGCGCAGAUAUCAGGAAGAACACCGGUGGCGAAGGCGGCUCUCUGGGACGGUACUGACGCUGAGACGCGAAAGCGUGGGGAGCGAACAGG